UUGCUUAUUUUGGUCAAUGAGAAGAGGUGAAUGAUAUUGUACAUAAUCUUCAACCCAAAGGUAUAAUAAUGCAAUGCAUAAAAAGAUCUACUUCCUAUAUAUGCUGCAGUUUCGAUUAUGUCAAAAAACGUGCAGGUACUCACCAUCUGUGUUGGCCUAUCAUACAAAAUUAAGGGUCAGGUUCGAUGUACAUAGGGACUGCUACAACCAAUGGAUAUUAUAUAUAGGGACUGCUACAACCCACGGGCAUUACAUUAUAGAUGGAGUUUUAAUAUCUUCUUUUUUCAUAUUUCAUAUGAAUGUCGGGCGUAUCCAACUCCAUUCUCUACAAAUUAAAAUCUUUGUUGCACCUUUUAUUGAGAAAUCAGAUUCUGUAGUUGCUUAGAAAAAGCAUAGGCAUCACUUAUUCAUUUUUAGAUUCUAUGCUUGGUGAACGUAUACCAACUCCUUUUUUUAUCGUAUAUGCUUCUCGAUGCUAAAAAUUACAAGUUAUGUUUCUUUUUUGGAAACAGAUUUUGAAAAAAAUGUGAGUAACAAGAGUGUGUUACUGUCUGGAUGUAUUAAGAAAUUGUGGGCACUAAUCAAAAGUUUGUUACUGAAAUCAUGACGCCAUUUGCUUAAUCAUUGUGGAAAAAUGGUUCUUCUGCAAUUAAAAAUAAUUGUCAGCAGCGACUAUGCAGGUAUGGACUUUGCAUGAGAAGCACAUAUGAGUAUGCCGACAUGGACCAUAUCAGGUCAUUGCCCCUAUUCUUUCCACAUCUUCUAUGCCAUGUUCCAAUUCAUUUGUUUUCCAUAUUGCUCAUGUUUGUAGCCGUUCUGUUAGGCACUUAUCCAUUGAUAACUUAUCAUGCUUCUAUUAAUUGAUGAUCUCUUCGCAUCGCAGUAGCACACUGAGCUCUAUGUUAUUUUGUCCUGUUUUCUUCAAGGUCCUUUGCAGGUUCCUUGUGCAAAGCUUGCUGAUUGUCAAUGUGAUUAGAGAUUUAGAGGGCCCCGGGCCAGUGGUUGAAUGAUGCAUUUCCUAUAGUGGGACUCCCUUGGUUGCAUCUGCGCUUUCGACUGGCCAGUGCGGUGCAGCAGCAGCAGUGACCACCGCUGCCAAGGAGCUCCAGCAAGCACGUGCGUCUACUCUCCUUGCCCCUGAGCUCCUGCAGCGGCAACAACAGCUCAUGUGUAGUAUCAGCCAGAGAACUACAACACAAAUCAUGUUCCUGCUAUUUUCUCACUCACGGAUGAUGUAUUGUUUUAGUUCAGUUAUUCCUUUUGUGAGAUGCUUCGCCAAGGGAAAGAGAUAGAAACUUGAAAGAAAAAAACUCAGUUUCACGACCGAUAGGUGGAUACUUCUCAAUCAAAUGAAUAAACAUGCGCUCUACCAGGCUUCAAGACCGAUAGGUGGUCACUAUUUGUAAUGGUAUUUCAAUCUUUUCUAUUGCGCACUCUUAUGUUUGUUUUCAUGUACUCCCUUACCGUUUCUGCUUUUCUUGUUGUGGUAUAUACAGUUACACCAGCUAUUGAUGGCAGCAUAUUGCCUUCACAUCGAGUGAAGAUAGUUGGGUGGGUUCCUGA